rnacentral:rRNA from 1 species
UCUCCUGGAAAACGGGUGGUAAUACCGGAUGCUCCGCUCCAUCGCAUGGUGGGGUGGGAAAUGCUUUUGCGGCAUGGGAUGGGGUCGCGUCCUAUCAGCUUGUUGGCGGGGUGAUGGCCCACCAAGGCGUUGACGGGUAGCCGGCCUGAGAGGGUGACCGGCCACAUUGGGACUGAGAUACGGCCCAGACUCCUACGGGAGGCAGCAGUGGGGAAUAUUGCACAAUGGGCGCAAGCCUGAUGCAGCGACGCCGCGUGCGGGAUGGAGGCCUUCGGGUUGUAAACCGCUUUUGUUCAAGGGCAAGGCACGGUUUCGGCCGUGUUGAGUGGAUUGUUCGAAUAAGCACCGGCUAACUACGUGCCAGCAGCCGCGGUAAUACGUAGGGUGCGAGCGUUAUCCGGAUUUAUUGGGCGUAAAGGGCUCGUAGGCGGUUCGUCGCGUCCGGUGUGAAAGUCCAUCGCCUAACGGUGGAUCUGCGCCGGGUACGGGCGGGCUGGAGUGCGGUAGGGGAGACUGGAAUUCCCGGUGUAACGGUGGAAUGUGUAGAUAUCGAAAAAAAAA